UUGAGCGCAUCCUGAGUGUUCUGGUACCCAAGGCAUAUGGUGCAUAUUUAUAGGGCUCCAUCUGAGGGCUUCCAUAAAUUAAGCCGACACAGUUAUCCGUAAGAAAGUAAAAUAAGCACUUUGCUCUAAAAACCAAAAGAAGUUUUCCAAACCCUACCUCUGUGCAUCUAGCUAGCUACCACAAACACAGAAUCCUGAAAGAGAAAUUCUAGAAACAGCAAAAGUGCUAACCACUCAUCUUAGCAAGCUGGCUUUUUUCAGAACGUAUACGAAGCACAUAGAGUGCACAGUUUAGAACCAGCAAUCUUCAUUCUCGCAGAUUCAUUUCACUGUGUCCACGGAAAUUUCUGGAUGUUCCCUUUGGACCAGUUUGAGAGACGAGGAUCACUUCCACUGCCUACGAAAGUGAUUGCCAUUGAAUCGGGCUUGCGUGGGCCCCUGGGGAGCAGCAAGGUCAUGGGACAGCUGGAGCUGCCCACUCAGUGGCUGACUGUGUAUUGGACUCACACUGCCUUGCUGCUGGUGCCAGGCCUUAGCAGGAUGCAACCACGUGUGGAUGGACAACAGUGCAUGUGUGUGUGCAGUGGGGGCACAGAGCCCAAUUUGUGGCGGUGUAUUUACCCUUUUAGGAUAGUUGCACCCAGACUGGGGGUCUAACCAGCCUUCUCUUCUCUCCUGGUGGGUCUUCUCAUUGAAGUAGUUUGGGAUCUUUCUACAGAAACCACUUUUGUUUGUUUGAUUUUGACUUGUUUAUUCCUCUGACCCUACCUUCAUAGAGAACAAAUCACAACCGGGGCUGCUUCCUGCCUUUCUAAGACCCAGGCCCAUGCAGCUCUAGUGACGGCAGAAUUUUCGUUCUUGCUAAUUAACCAGUUUCCUUUAACGUAACUUCCUUUUAUCCUCUCUUAUCCCUCUGUCAUCACUCAUUUAUUAUGAUAAUCCCUUAACAGGGGUAUAAUACUCUAUAGUUUGUAACAGGCUUUCCCUUGCAAUUUCUCAUUUGCUUCUUAAUCAAAAUCUGUGAAUUAAUCGAGUUAAUGUUUUUUAUCAUAUCCAGCUUAGCAGUGGGAAACCAGUCAUCGGCCAUUCCUCACCUCCUCUGGUCUUCCAUUAAGAAUAUUAGUCUCGAGAGUGCCCAUCAUAGCGCAGUGGAAAGGAAUCCAACUAGUAUCCAUGAGAACGCGGGUUCAAUCCCUGGUCUUGCUCAGUGUGUAGGGGAUCUGGCAUUGCUGUGAACUGUGGUGUAGGUUGCAGACAUGGCUCAAAUCCUGUGUUGCUGUGACUGUGGUGUAGGCAGGGCAGCUGUAGAUCCCAUUCGACCUCUAGCCUGGGAUCCUCCAUAUGCCUGCCACAAGUAUGGCCCUAAAAAGAAAAAAAAAAGAAAGAAAGAAAGAAAGAAAAUCAGUCUCAUGGAAUUCCCUGGUGGUUCAGCAGAUUAAGGAUCUGGCUUUGUCACUGCUGUGGCUGGGGUCACUGCUAUGGCACAGGUUUGAUCCCUGAGCCAGGGAACUUCCACGUGCUGUGGGCUUGGCCAAAAAAAAAAAAAAAAAGUGUUAGUCUCCCCAUUCUCUGGUUGGCGGACAUUUGCAUUGUUCCAUUUUUAAAAUUUCUAUAACAAAGUUGCAAUGAAUAUUGUUCAAACUCCAGCUAGAAAUUUGCAGUGGUUUUCUUAGAUACAGCAUGGAUUUUACUAGAUAUGGACAUGUUGCUCACUGUCCUAUAUGUAGCUGCUUACCACAUAUGGCUCUUGAGCGCUUGAAAUAUGCUUAGUCUGAACUGCAGUGUCCUAUAAGUGUAAAAUAUUUAAAAUACUGAUAAUAUUUUAGGUAUAUUGGUCUAAAUAUAAUAUUUUAUUAAAAUUUAAAAAAAGUAUUAGUCUUAGACUCAUUUCUUCAGGGGUUAAUACCAGCUUUUUUCCUGUGGACAAUAGCUGCUUGUCGUUCACUGAAG
rnacentral:lncRNA from 9 species